GAGGGUAUAGCUCAGUGGUAGAGUGCGUGCCUAGCAUGUAUGAGGUCUGGUUUCAAUCCCCAAGACCUCCA
rnacentral:tRNA from 1 species